AUACGGAGGGUGCAAGCGUUACUCGGAAUCACUGGGCGUAAAGCGCGCGCAGGCGGCUAUUUAAGUUGGAUGUGAGAGCCUACGGCUCAACCGUAGAACUGCAUCCAAAACUAUUUAGCUAGAGUGUGGGAGAGGAAGAUGGAAUUAGUUGUGUAGGGGUAAAAUCCGUAGAGAUAACUAGGAAUACCAAAAGCGAAGGCAAUCUUCUGGAACACUUCUGACGCUGAGGCGCGAAAGCGUGGGGAGCAAACGGGAUUAGAUACCCUAGUAGUCC
rnacentral:rRNA from 1 species